rnacentral:rRNA from 1 species
AGCCAUUGCUAUCGGAGUCCGAUUUAGCCAUGCUAGUUGUGCGGGUUUAGACCCGCAGCGGAAAGCUCAGUAACACGUGGCCAAGCUACCCUGUGGACGGGAAUACUCUCGGGAAACUGAGGCUAAUCCCCGAUAACGCUUUGCUCCUGGAAGGGGCAAAGCCGGAAACGCUCCGGCGCCACAGGAUGCGGCUGCGGUCGAUUAGGUAGACGGUGGGGUAACGGCCCACCGUGCCCAUAAUCGGUACGGGUUGUGAGAGCAAGAGCCCGGAGACGGAAUCUGAGACAAGAUUCCGGGCCCUACGGGGCGCAGCAGGCGCGAAACCUUUACACUGUACGAAAGUGCGAUAAGGGGACUCCGAGUGUGAAGGCAUAGAGCCUUCACUUUUGUACACCGUAAGGUGGUGCACGAAUAAGGACUGGGCAAGACCGGUGCCAGCCGCCGCGGUAAUACCGGCAGUCCGAGUGAUGGCCGAUCUUAUUGGGCCUAAAGCGUCCGUAGCUGGCUGAACAAGUCCGUUGGGAAAUCUGUCCGCUUAACGGGCAGGCGUCCAGCGGAAACUGUUCAGCUUGGGACCGGAAGACCUGAGGGGUACGUCUGGGGUAGGAGUGAAAUCCUGUAAUCCUGGACGGACCGCCGGUGGCGAAAGCGCCUCAGGAGAACGGAUCCGACAGUGAGGGACGAAAGCUAGGGUCUCGAACCGGAUUAGAUACCCGGGUAGUCCUAGCUGUAAACGAUGUCCGCUAGGUGGUGGCGCAGGCUACGAGCCUGCGCUGUGCCGUAGGGAAGCCGAGAAGCGGACCGCCUGGGAAGUACGUCUGCAAGGAUGAAACUUAAAGGAAUUGGCGGGGGAGCACACAACCGGAGGAGCCUGAGGUUGA